rnacentral:rRNA from 1 species
AUUGAACGCUGGCGGCAGGCCUAACACAUGCAAGUCGAACGGUAACAGGAAACAGCUUGCUGUUUCGCUGACGAGUGGCGGACGGGUGAGUAAUGUCUGGGAAACUGCCUGAUGGAGGGGGAUAACUACUGGAAACGGUAGCUAAUACCGCAUAACGUCGCAAGACCAAAGAGGGGGACCUUCGGGCCUCUUGCCAUCGGAUGUGCCCAGAUGGGAUUAGCUAGUAGGUGGGGUAACGGCUCACCUAGGCGACGAUCCCUAGCUGGUCUGAGAGGAUGACCAGCCACACUGGAACUGAGACACGGUCCAGACUCCUACGGGAGGCAGCAGUGGGGAAUAUUGCACAAUGGGCGCAAGCCUGAUGCAGCCAUGCCGCGUGUAUGAAGAAGGCCUUCGGGUUGUAAAGUACUCUCAGCGGGGAGGAAGGGAGUAAAGUUAAUACCUUUACUCAUUGACGUUACCCGCAGAAGAAGCACCGGCUAACUCCGUG